AUGGCGACCGGCGCACGGGUGAGUAACGCGUAUCCAACCUGCCCUUUACUAUGGGACAGCCCGUCGGAAGGCGGAUUAAUACCGUAUGUUGUCAUGUUGAUGCAUAUUUUCAUGACCAAAGGCUUCGGCCGGUAAAGGAUGGGGAUGCGUCUGAUUAGCUUGCCGGCGGGGUAACGGCCCACCGGGGCGACGAUCAGUAGGGGUUCUGAGAGGAAGGUCCCCCACAUUGGAACUGAGACACGGUCCAAACUCCUACGGGAGGCAGCAG
rnacentral:rRNA from 1 species